UAAGGAAUCUUCCACAAUGGACGAAAGUCUGAUGGAGCAACGCCGCGUGAGUGAAGAAGGGUUUCGGCUCGUAAAACUCUGUUGUUAAAGAAGAACAUAUCUGAGAGUAACUGUUCAGGUAUUGACGGUAUUUAACCAGAAAGCCACGGCUAACUACGUGCCAC
rnacentral:rRNA from 1 species